GCUCACAGCAGGAAAGUCACACAAAAGCAGUUAGAAAUGUAAUCUUAACAUGCUUUGAAGAUCGGUCACAGAAAUGAAUAAAUAAACUCUUACCUGGAUGUGUAAGGUCCAGUUCUUCAUCCAUCAAAACUUCCUAAUGCCUAACCCAGUCACUACCUGUGAUGGUUAAUCUUAGAUGUCAACUUGACCGGAUUGAGAGACACCUAGAAAAAAAUGGUUUAAUCCAGAAGUUCUGUAAAAUCAAGCACUGUUCCUUUGGCAGGAAGUUGUAGUCUGGUGACAGAGCCUACAGGAAGCAGAGAUAUCUCCAGACCCUGCAAGAACCAUCAUUACACUGCCAUCACUUAAUGGAAGGAGCCCUUGAAGUUACUUAGUGAGCAAACUUGUGCCCCCUUGUGGUCUGUUUGUUGAACUUGUUCAUGAUGAAAAAGGGUUAAUAUGUUCCAGGGAUUCCAAGUAUCUCCACCACUGCAUAUUAAUAUAUUGGUGUCUGGUUA